rnacentral:rRNA from 1 species
CGUCCCAUUUUGCUUACGGCCCAAGCAAAAUCGUUCCGGCCACGCAACUUGGCAUCCAAGUUUAGCGCGCCCAGCGCCACCGCCAGGCGGGCCCGACCCGCGGCGGGGCCCCGUGUGUCGGCCGCGGAGGCGGUGGGUGGAGCACAAUAAGGGUCGCAAGUGGGCACGACAAAGGCGUGGACCCGCGUUAUUUCUCCGCCCAAUAAUAUUUCCCCCACCGCCGCACGGCUCCUCCACCCCGACCUUCCUCUCGCCUUCGCCCCCGCCCCCGCCCCCUUGCCGCCGCCGCCGCAGCGAUUCUCCGAGCCGAGUCCUUGCUUUGACCAGCCGCGUCUCGCCGCCGGCCGGGGGAGCAUCUUCGGCGGGGUAGCUCCGGCAAUCGAUCGUAGCCGGGGGAUAAAGUGGGCUCCGUAGGGGAGUCCUAGGGGGGGUGACAGGGGGGUUAGAUCGGGCAAGAUGAACCGCUCAAUAUCCUCCGCCGUGACCCCUGCUGAUGCUGCCGCUAACCCUAGGUUUCCUACUCUUUUGCCCUUAUCUCACCCGACCGAUAUUCUUUUUCUCCUUGUCGAUAUUGAAGUAGUCUAUGCUCAGAGGUUCCUCCAUUAGCUUAGUGUAAAUAUUAGACUUGUUGGGGUUUAGUUUGCUAGAAGGAAUUAGUCUCUGCUUGGUGUUCAUUUCUGCUUGCUACAAUGGCUGCGAUGAACGAAAAGGUGUUGGCUAAAUGUGGACAGAAUAUAGUUAGCCUCAAGAGGAAGCGGGACAGCCCCGCUGCAUAUCAUGCUGAUGCCUGCCACACCUCUCAAUCGCAUCAGCAUCCUACUGGAAACUCUGAUAUCAGGUUGUAUGUUGGUGAAGAUCGCAAGGCGAACAUCGCGUGCCACUUUAACAAGCAGAUUUUACAGAGCUAUCAGAACUACAUGACCAGUGCAUCACCUAAGCGUAUUCUGCUCCGCCAAAGUGGCAACUGGAAAGAAUUUCCAGAAAAAAUUGUCAAGCUGGCUCAAGUUGAUUUCCGGACAAAGAAGACCAUCACAGAAGUAGGAUACCAGAACCAGCUAUUUUUGCUGGACUUUGUCCACAUGACAUUCAUUGACUCAAAGUCAGGUCUUCAGAGGCCAAUCGCCUGGAUUGAUGACAAUGGAAGGCGUUACUUCCCAGAAGUUCUUAUUGAAGAUCAGAUAGUAUAUAGGAGGAAAGAUUUUGGCAAUGGAGAUCAUGUCUAUGUUAUAGCUGAGCCUAAUGGGGCACGUCAAAUAAAUGACCAGUAUGGAGCAUCAGAGAGUUCCGCAGAAAGCUCAAACUUUGAGUCCAGUACUGAAGAGGUUUCCAGUGCUAAGAGAGUUAGAGCUGAGAAGAGUAUCAUCAGGAAAAUAAAUUGUGAUCGUAGAGAAACUGUGGGAGAGAAUGAACCACACACUUCGCUGCCUGCAGUCUUUAGUUGUCAACCACAGCAAGAUAAGCUGGGCGGGCAAUCACGUGCUCAAGGAACUACCUCUGUUGUGCAGAAGAUGUUGCUGCAGGGAAUGGGCACUGCUAUUGGUUCCAAGGAUAUUAUUGGAAUCCACCGAACGCCAUUCUUGAAUAAUUAUAGAGAAGACCGCUAUGAUCUCUUCCAAAAGCAGGUAGAGAUUACUAAAUCUCAGCAUGGUAAUGCAAAUGUGCGUUAUGCUUGGCUUCCUUGCUCGAAAGCUGCUGUGGAUGAAAUGAUGCUGAAUGGCACCUUGCAAGUUAAAAAGCCCACUAGGUGUCCACCCUAUGGAACUGGCGUACUCCUUGCACCAGCUAACUGCUCCAUUAACUGUGUGAAUUACUCUGAUGUUGAUGAAAAUGGCAUCAUCUAUAUGAUGUUGUGCCGGGUUGUAAUGGGGAACGUAGAAAUAGUUCACCAUGGAUCUAAGCAGCACCAGCCUAGUAACGAGUAUUUUGAUAGCGGUGUAGAUGACCUAAAAAACCCGCAGCAUUACAUUGUAUGGGAUAUGAAUCUGGAUAGUCACAUCUAUUCUGAAUUUGUAGUCACCAUCAAAUUGCCAUCUAAAGCCAAAGAUUCCCUCUUCACACAAGAAGAUUGUCACGAUUCAUCUGAUGCUUCACUGGUCUUGAGUCCAAGUUCGGCCGACAGUGUAUCACAGGACAUGAAUCUUGAGGCAUCUCCAGCAUUGGGUGGUCAGUAUGAAGCCCCCAUGUUAGGAGGAUCAAUGGCAAAAGCUCCAAGUACACCUUGGAUGCCCUUUUCCAUGUUAUUUGCAGCUAUUUCAACCAAACUUCCUCGCGAGAAAAUGGACAUGAUCAAUAACUGUUAUGAAGAAUUCAAGGCCAAGAAAAUAAGCAGAAUUGACCUAGUGAAGAGGCUGCGUCUCAUAGUUGGUGACAGAAUGCUGGUCUCCACAAUAAUUCGGCUCCAAGAUAAGUUGCCUCCGAUGGUGAAGCGGGAAGCAGCAAAUGCUCCAGCCAAGGCACGAGGUCAGUGACCAUGGUGGAUUGGAGGAAGGAACUGGUCGGCUUGUUAUCAUGAGUUGGAAGGAAUGUAGUCUUCUGAGUUUAUUUGCGUCUGUCUGUGAAUCUGCCGCUCUGUCUGUCUGUCUGUUUUAGUAGCUGCAAAGAGGAAACUGUCCGAGUAUACUUGUGAACCUAAGAUGGUUUCAAGGGAGAAGGCUCCUUGUUUACCCUCCUAGUUUGGUUUUUGUCCAAUCAACAUUGAGUUUAGUCAAUAAAUCGUCAUUUUCUGUUAAUUUUCUAACUUAUGUGUUUAUUC